UCAGGCCUAACACAUGCAAGUCGAACGGUAACAGGAAACAGCUUGCUGUUUCGCUGACGAGUGGCGGACGGGUGAGUAAUGUCUGGGAAACUGCCUGAUGGAGGGGGAUAACUACUGGAAACGGUAGCUAAUACCGCAUAACGUCGCAAGACCAAAGAGGGGGACCCUCGGGCCUCUUGCCAUCGGAUGUGCCCAGAUGGGAUUAGCUUGUUGGUGGGGUAACGGCUCACCAAGGCGACGACCCCUAGCUGGUCUGAGAGGAUGACCAGCCACACUGGAACUGAGACACGGUCCAGACUCCUACGGGAG
rnacentral:rRNA from 1 species